UUUGUGCUAUUUACAAAAAUCGUGUUUUCUUGUGGCAACAUCGGAAAGCGCAGAAAAAUAGACCAUUAGAGUGACUUUGACACUGAACUCGUAAGAAAGUUAUACUUACAAGUCUUACAGAUAAAAUUGAAAACGGCCGCCACACUUCGACGAUUAUAAAGUCAUUUUUCGAGAAAAAGCUUUGCAAGCGGAGCUUUUGACCAGAGAAGCGAUACUCCCGCUUUGUUUUCCGAUCGACGUUUCUAAUUGCUACAGUCACAAUUUAGUAAUUAAGAAUAUACUGUAAACAGCGUAGGCAGAAGGAGCAAUUGAUCAUUAAAUCAAUUUUUACUUA